UGCUAUGAUGGUGUAAUUUGCGUCUGAUCCUGUGAACAGUGACAGUUGCCUGCUGUCAUUAAGCUGUCACAGGUAGCUGAUGUAUGCUAAAUUCUGAGCA
ensembl:snoRNA SNORD16 Small nucleolar RNA SNORD16